rnacentral:rRNA from 1 species
UGCUAACGUCCGGACUCAAAAGGGAAACAACCCAGACCGCCGUUUAAGGUCCCAAAUACAGGCUAAGUGGAAAACGAAGUGUGAAGGCUAAGACAGUCAGGAAGUUGGCUUAGAAGCAGCCAUCCUUCAAAGAAAGCGUAAUAGCUCACUGAUCGAGUCUUUCUGCGCGGAAGAUGUAACGGGGCUAAGUCUGUAACCGAAAGCGCGGAUUUGUACGCAAGUACAAGUGGUAGGGGAGCGUUCUGUAAGCCUGCGAAGGUGUGUGGUAACGCAUGCCGGAGGUAUCAGAAGUGCGAAUGCUGACAUGAGUAACGAUAAAGCGGGUGAAAAGCCCGCUCGCCGUAAGCCCAAGGUUUCCUGCUCUACGUUCAUCGGAGCAGGGUGAGUCGGCCCCUAAGGCCAGGCUGAGAAGCGUAGCUGAUGGGAAGCAGAUUAAGAUUUCUGCACCGACGUUAAGUGCGAAGGGGGGACGGAGUUUUGAGCAUCAUCCGGGUGUUGGAUGUCCCGGUUUGUGCGUGUAGGAGGCCGGCAGGCAAAUCCGCCGGCGAAUCUCCGAGACAAAGCAUCGAGCUGCAUUUUGCAGUGAAGUGAUGGGAUGAACUUCCAGGAAAAGCCUCUAAGCAAUAGCUUAAUGUCGACCGUACCGUAAACCGACACAGGUGGGCGAGUUGAAUAUACUCAGGCGCUUGAGAGAACUCGGGAGAAGGAACUCGGCAAAUUGACACCGUAACUUCGGGAUAAGGUGUGCCUUUGUAGUGUGAAGAGUGAAACACUCCGAGCAUGAAGAGGCACAGAGAAUAGGUGGCUGCAACUGUUUACUAAAAACACAGCACUCUGCAAAGACGAAAGUCGACGUAUAGGGUGUGAUGCCUGCCCGGUGCCGGAAGAUUAAGUGAUGGGGUGAGAGCUCCUGAUCGAAGUCCCGGUAAACGGCGGCCGUAACUAUAACGGUCCUAAGGUAGCGAAAUUCCUUGUCGGGUAAGUUCCGACCUGCACGAAUGGCAUAAUGAUGGCCACACUGUCUCCUCCCGAGACUCAGUGAAGUUGAAAUGUUUGUGAUGAUGCAAUCUCCCCGCGGCUAGACGGAAAGACCCCAUGAACCUUUACUGCAGCUUUGCAUUGACUUUGGUCAACCGAUGUGUAGGAUAGGCGGGAGGCAGAGAACCGGGAGCGCCAGUCUUUGGGGAGCCGACGUUGAAAUACCGCCCUGAUUUGUUUGAGGUUCUAACCGCGGACAGUAAACCUGUUCCGGGACCGUGCAUGGUAGGCAGUUUGACUGGGGCGGUCUCCUCCUAAAGGGUAACGGAGGAGUACAAAGGUACGCUAGGUACGGUCGGAAAUCGUGCUGAUAGUGCAAUGGCGCAAGCGUGCUUGACUGCGAGACCGACAAGUCGAGCAGAUGCGAAA